rnacentral:rRNA from 1 species
GGACUACAAGGGUAUCUAAUCCGGCUCGCUCCCCUAGGUUUCGUCCCUCACCGUCAGACCCGUUCCAGUUAGACGCCUUCGCCACAGGUGGUCCCCCUAGGAUUACAGGAUUUCACCCCUACCCUAGGAGUACCUCUAACCUCUCCCGGUCUCAAGACAAGCAGUAUCCCUAGAUUUCCCACAGUUGAGUUGCAGGAUUUAACCAAAGACUUACUUAUCCGGCUACGAACGCUUUAGGCCCAAUAAUCGCGGCUACCACUUGAGCUGCCGGUAUUACCGCGGCGGCUGGCACCGGUCUUGCCCAGCCCUUACUCCUCUGGUUACUUAGACCAAAGAACAGCCCAUGCAAUGCAUGAGCACUUGGGAUCCCCCUGUCACGGUUUCCCGCAUUGCAGAGGUUUCGCGCCUGCUGCACCCCGUAGG